AUAAUGGUUUGGUUGUGUCCCCACCCAAAUCUCAUCUUGAAUUGUAGUUCCCAUAAUCCCUCUGUGUCCUUGGAGGGACCCAAUGGGCGGUAAUUGAAUCAUGAGAGUGAGGAGAGACAGGCUUUCAC